CACCCCGGAAGGGGAGUGAAAUAGAACCUGAAACCGUGUGCUUACAAGUAGUCAGAGCCCGUUAAUGGGUGAUGGCGUGCCUUUUGUAGAAUGAACCGGCGAGUUACGAUUUGAUGCAAGGUUAAGCAGUAAAUGUGGAGCCGUAGCGAAAGCGAGUCUGAAUAGGGCGUUUAGUAUUUGGUCGUAGACCCGAAACCAGGUGAUCUACCCUUGGUCAGGUUGAAGUUCAGGUAACACUGAAUGGAGGACCGAACCGACUUACGUUGAAAAGUGAGCGGAUGAACUGAGGGUAGCGGAGAAAUUCCAAUCGAACCUGGAGAUAGCUGGUUCUCUCCGAAAUAGCUUUAGGGCUAGCCUCAAGUGAUGAUUAUUGGAGGUAGAGCACUGUUUGGACGAGGGGCCCCUCUCGGGUUACCGAAUUCAGACAAACUCCGAAUGCCAAUUAAUUUAACUUGGGAGUCAGAACAUGGGUGAUAAGGUCCGUGUUCGAAAGGGAAACAGCCCAGACCACCAGCUAAGGUCCCAAAAUAUAUGUUAAGUGGAAAAGGAUGUGGCGUUGCCCAGACAACUAGGAUGUUGGCUUAGAAGCAGCCAUCAUUUAAAGAGUGCGUAAUAGCUCACUAGUCGAGUGACACUGCGCCGAAAAUGUACCGGGGCUAAACAUAUUACCGAAGCUGUGGAUUGUCCUUUGGACAAUGGUAGGAGAGCGUUCUAAGGGCGUUGAAGCAUGAUCGUAAGGACAUGUGGAGCGCUUAGAAGUGAGAAUGCCGGUGUGAGUAGCGAAAGACGGGUGAGAAUCCCGUCCACCGAUUGACUAAGGUUUCCAGAGGAAGGCUCGUCCGCUCUGGGUUAGUCGGGUCCUAAGCUGAGGCCGACAGGCGUAGGCGAUGGAUAACAGGUUGAUAUUCCUGUACCACCUAUAAUCGUUUUAAUCGAUGGGGGGACGCAGUAGGAUAGGCGAAGCGUGCGAUUGGAUUGCACGUCUAAGCAGUAAGGCUGAGUAUUAGGCAAAUCCGGUACUCGUUAAGGCUGAGC
rnacentral:rRNA from 1 species